rnacentral:rRNA from 1 species
AGCGAACGCUGGCGGCAGGCUUAACACAUGCAAGUCGAACGGGCGUAGCAAUACGUCAGUGGCAGACGGGUGAGUAACGCGUGGGAACGUACCUUUUGGUUCGGAACAACCCAGGGAAACUUGGGCUAAUACCGGAUAAGCCCUUACGGGGAAAGAUUUAUCGCCGAAAGAUCGGCCCGCGUCUGAUUAGCUAGUUGGUGGGGUAAUGGCCCACCAAGGCGACGAUCAGUAGCUGGUCUGAGAGGAUGACCAGCCUCAUUGGGACUGAGACACGGCCCAAACUCCUACGGGAGGCAGCAGUGGGGAAUAUUGGACAAUGGGCGCAAGCCUGAUCCAGCCAUGCCGCGUGGAUGAUGAAGCCUAGGGUUGUAAAGUCCUUUAACGGGAAGAUAAUGACGGUACCCGUAGAAUAAGCCCCGGCUAACUUCGUGCCA